ACAGCUCCUGCACUGUCAGGCCUGGGGAACAGGGCUCCUCCCUGCCUCUCAGCAGAUCGCUUCAUGCCUAUCAGCCUGCAGCACAUUCCUCGCAUUCUAGGAUUGAGAUACACAGUUUGGUUCUUGUGAGGGCAGCCAGGGCUGGGGAGGAGGGCAGAGAACAUCCCAGAGAUCAAGACUGCUCUUCUUGCUCCCUCCCCGACUGACUUGGCCCACACUGACUGGCCUGCCACCCCUUUACAGUGAUCUCCACCCAGUCUCUCUCUGCAAAGGCCUCCCUUGGCUCUCUGAUAAAGUUGGAGCUGUGGGUGCAGCAUUUCACUUGGACCUAGCAGCAUCAAUGAGCCAGCUCCUCACUGGGGAACAUGCAAACCCCCAGCUGCUGGUGUGCAGGAAAAGAAUCCAGGAGAUCACCUGAUGAAGCCCAGCAUUUUACAGGCAGUGGAGCAGGGGAAUCCAGUUGACACUGUGGCUAAAUUUCAGAAAACCUCCCAUGAGAUCUUGCAAAGGAGAUGGAGAAAAUAUGGCUGAAUGCCAGCAAGAGCAAAGUGGUGAAAGGACCCUGGUGAGAGGCCCAAAGAACAGGAGGUGUGAGCCAAGAGAAGGUCCUGCCAGGCCUAUGUUGCAGGCUAUUUGGAGGCUGAACUUGAGGAAACUUCAGUCUUCAGUCUUAAGGCCUUCAACUGAUUGGAAGGCCCCCAGUCAGCUAGUGGGAAGACCCAUGCACAUUAGAGAGGGUUGACGCAGAAUUAACUGUUGCAUGAGAUGUGGGGUAUGAGAGAAGGCCUGAGUACCUAGAAGGAUUGGGAUGCCAUGAACUGACAGAGGUUGUGUAAUAGUGUGAUAUAAUAAGAAAUACAUGGUGGGCAUGGUGGCUCAAGCCUGUAAUCCCAGCACCUUGGCCACCACUGCAGGACCAUUGCUUGAGUUCAGGAGUUUGAGACCAACCUGGACAAUAUAGUGAGACCUCACCUCAAAAAAAAAAAAAGAAGAAGAAGAGGAAAUACAUAUUUGAUCUCUGCCCCUGGUUCUUGAGACAGAGCUCCUAAAACUUUUAUGAUUCCCUAAGUGACAAGAUCACCUGAUGCAGAGCUCCUAAAUCCCUUGGAAUUUCCUGGAGGACAGGAGCAUCUUUUGUUCUAAAGGUCACUCUUGGUGGACUCCUCAAUAGCCUCAUGAUGGGGGCUGGUAGCCAGGGGAAUCAACCGUGUGAUUACAGUAGAACUUUCAAACCCCACUGACCUGACCUCUGGGGAAGAGAGGGGGUGCUAAAGAUGAGCUAAUCACCAAUGGUCAAUGAUUUAAUCAGUCAUGCUACACAAUGAAGCCUCUAUAAAACCCCAAAAGGACAGGGUUCAGAGAGCUUCCUGGUUGAUGAAUCAGUAGAGGUGCUGGGAGGAUGGCACACCUGGAGAGGGCAUGGCACUCUGUGCCCCUUCCCACAUACCUUACAUUAUGCCUCUCUUCCAUCUGGCGUUCAUCCACAUCCUUUUGUAAUAUCCUUUAUAAUAAAUGGGUAAAUGUAAGUCAAGUGUUAGUCUGAGUUCUGUGAGAUGCUCUAACAAAUUAAUCAAACACAAAGAAAGGAUCAUGGGAACCCUUGAUUUAUAGCUAGCUGGUCAGAAAUACAGAUCACAACCAGGGGCUUGUGACUGACACCUGAAGUGGAGGGCAAUUUUGUGGGACUGGGCUCUUAAACCGUGGGAUCUGACACUAUCUUCAGGUAGAUGGUGUCAUAACUGAACUGAAUUAUAGGACACCCAGUUGGUGUCUGCUGGAGAAUUGCUUGGUAUGUGAGGAAAAAAACAGACACAUUUUGGUGAGAAGCAAUAAAAUACUCUACAUGCUGUGUUGAGUGUUGUAUCAUGUGCCCCAGUAGGAAUAACAGCUUGUUUUUCCUAUUGUUACAAUUGGCACUGGAUCUAUCUCAUAUAGGGGACAGGAGGAGGCCUGCCAGGAGAGCAGGCUUGGCUGAGUGGGUAGGUGAGGUGGAACUGUUCACAAGUCUGGUAUUUAGGGGAAAGGUCUCUAUGGAAAAUACAAACUUGGGAACCAUCAGUAUAUAGAUAUAUAUUCGAUAUGAAAAUGAAGUUAACACUUCUCAACAGGAAAAACAAAGUUUUUUGGAGGAGGUGGCAUGUGAUUGGGGACCUUGAAAGAUGGGAUUUUCAUAGUCAGAAAUAGGUGGGAAGACAAUCCCAGAUUAAGAAAGAGCCAUUAUCAAUGCUAGGAUUCACAUUGAGGCUAGUUUAGGGAACAUUUUUUCAGUUUGAAUGAGCAGAGGACUGAUUUUGGAGGGAGCCAGUGGCAGAAAUAUGAGCAGAAUAUUAGCCUUGUGACUUGCUGUACACUCAUGCAUCUAUCUACGAAUUCAUCAGACACCACUGGUUACCUUAAAAGCUGUGUUUGUUGUGGACAUUAACAACAACAAUCAUAAAUGCAUAUUGAGCCCUUAUCAUGUGCUCAUGUGAAAAUUCCUCACUUAAUAUUCACCCCCAACUAAAAAUAAGGAAAGUAAGAGUCUGAGUGAUUUUCUCCAGUUCUGUCUGCCGGUCAGAUUGGAACAAAGGCAGUGUGACCCCAGAGCCUUUGCCUUACCACUCAGCUCUACUUCUUUGUCAGAAACACCAAACCAGGCAUCUGUGGUGGUGGGGCCUGGCAGCCACCAGAAAUAUAGACUACUAAGUCUUGGGCAAGGCUUCCUCCUGACUUUCUUCUGUAUGAGAUGUGAAACCUGCCCUCUCCAGGGGUCAGCUGAGGAACCAGCAGUGGUAGCUCCAGGAAAGAAGGUAGGGCUGCUGACCAGGGCUUAGGUCACCAAGCUGCUGACUCUGACUCACCUGGGAAAGCUGACUGGCUUUUAAAGCAUCCACUCCCCAUUUUGUGUCUCCUAUGGGCAAACCUGAGGUCAAGGGCAGAAAACCAAAGCAUCACCCUGGAAGGUUAGCACCGAAAGUGCCCUUGAACAGUAAUGUGUCUAUUCCUCUACUCCUUAUCUCCUCCAAACCCAUUUAAGACCAUAGAGGCUAUGUUCCUUGUCCUACAUUGUCUUGGAAGGUUUGUGACAAAUCCUAUACUAGAGCUCAAAUAUGAGGACUUUCAUGUUCAGUGUGCUUCCACAAAAGAUGCUAACAUGAAUUAGUUCCUGGUUUGAAAGGAAUAGUAUCAACAACAAAAAGGGCGUCCACUCAGAGACCCCAUCUGAAGGUCACCAACAUCAAAGACCAAAGGUAGAUAAAUUCACGAAGAUGGGGAGAAACCAGCUCAAAAAGCCUGAAAAUUCCAAAAACCAGAAUGCCUCUUCUACUCCAAAGGUUCACAACUCCUCACCAGCAAGGGAACAAAACUGGACAGAGAAUGAGUUUGACGAAUUGACAGAAGUAGGCUUCAGAAGGUGGGUAAUAACAAACUCCUCCGAGCUAAAGGAGCAUGCUCUAACCCAAUGCAGGGAAGCUAGGAACCUUGAAAAAAGGUUAGACAAAAUGCUAACUAGAAUAACCAGUUUAGAGAAGAAUAUAAAUGACCUGAUGCAGCUGAAAAACACAUGAAUUAGUUCCUGUUUUAAAAUUAGGUUUCCUGGUGAGCAGGCUGGAAUAGAAUCAAGUGUGUGUGUGUGCAUGCAUGUGUGUGUGUGUGUAUCUGUGUGUGUGCCAAGUUCAUGAUACAAGCCCAGGACUGACACUCCCUACCACUCCCAGGGAAAGGAAUUUCUCCUAAGUUCAACUUGUCUUUCAGGAAAAUUUAGAUUUUAAGCAUCUGACCCAGUAAAUGGGACAGGAAAGAGGAGCCCUGCCAUCCAGUGAGUCCUGCUCAGGUGUCUUUCCUGGAGAAACACUCACACCUGUGUAGCAAGAGGCCUGUGCAAGAAAGCCAACAGCAGCAUCACAAGAAAUAGUGAGGAGUGGAAGGAACUCAAAUGCCCAUCAAUACAGGAGUGAUUAUCCAGCAGUUAAAAUGAAUGAAGUGGGUCUUCACAGAGUCAAGGAAAGAUCCCUAAGACAUUAUUACACAAGGAAGAAGGAGAAGAAAAGAAAGUUGGCAAUACAAUGCAUACAAUAUGAUCCCAUUUGUGAAAAAGAAAGAACAUCCCAACCAUAUGUGUGUAUGUAGAAAGUAGAUCCUCUUGCCUGAUAAUUUCAAUGGAUUUAAUUCCACAAUUGUGCACCGAGUGCCCUCUUUGUGCAGGCCUUGUAAUCCAUAAGGAAAUCAUCUAGCAGGGAGAAGUGUAGGCAACAUCCCUGCCCUCUAGUAGCUGGAUAAGGGAGGGGUAAAUCAUGCCUGAGCCAGCAGAGCAUACCUGAGCCCCCAGAGCCAUAACCAACCCCAUACCUCACCCCUCAGAAUCAGUGUCAGCCCAGGAGAGUAGCCACAACCCCAGCAUUCAAGCCCAUGUGUCACCAAGCCCCUUGGGGAUCCAGAGAUGGUCUCACCAGAGCAGCUGCACCUCUGAUGCCUGAGCAGAUGUGGUGCCCUACCCCCUAGGGAAACAGAGUCUUGGCUGUUCUAUUUCACCCUACCCUUUGGGCUGUGCAACUGCAGAGCUCCAUCUUCUCGGAUCUGAACCAGCCCUCUGGAGUCUGAGCUGCUGAGGUGUUGCACCUCCCCAAGGUAUUGAGCUAUCAUUGCCCUGCUCCCCACCUCCUAGAGCCCAAGCCACAGCUGUGCACCUCCAUUCUAGGAAUUCUCUGCCACUGCACCUGGACUUACACACCCUGGGCCACUGUCGUGUUCCACCUCUGCAGAGUCCAGAGUCACCAUGAUGUGCUACUUCCUCUCCUGAUGCCUGAGUUGCCACUGUACCCUAUCGGCUCUAGGCCCAAGUUUCUGGAACACUCCUUCCUCCCCAGAGCCAUACCAGUGCUGUGCCCUGACCCCCAGCAUCAGAGUCACAGCUACACACCUGACCCCUGGGCCCAAGCUACUGGGGAGUGGCUCAGAGUAACAGUCCUCUGUUUAGUGCAGGAGCUUCAUCCACUUGUCACAGAGAGUGAACACCCACCUUACAGGUUCUACAACAGUACAACAAGACAUUGAAGCCAGGACCCAAACUCCACAGCUACUCCAAGCAGCUGUAGUCUGGAACACAGAACCACUGUGGCUGCCUGUGGCCUGUGUCAGACCCAACACCAAGAGGGAUCCCCUCAGCUACUUCUUCCCACUGUGGGAAAAAAAAAAACAAGAGGACCCCCCCCGCAAAGACUUUUCCACUGAGAGCUCUAACAACCGACCCUGCCACCACUGCUGCUACAAACUCUUGGAGCCUCAGCCACUGAUUCAGCUGCAGUUAUCAAUGAUGUCAAUCACAACUGAAAAAAACCUCAUGGAGACUGCUCUACUGCACCCACCUGGAACCAGAGCCAACACACAACCAACCUAGGACUCAUAUGCCAGUAAAAAUCUUUCCCUAUGAAAGCUACUCUAAAAUUGGAGAUGACUAUUUCAUCAGAGGCACAGACAUCAACACAGGGACACAAGAAGCAUGGAAAAGUAAGAAAAUAUGACAUGAUCAAAGGAACAUAAUUCUCCAUUAACUGACCCUAAAGAAAUUAAACUUCACAAAUUUCCCAAAAAGUAAUCAAAACAAUGAUCUUAAGGAAACUCAGUGAGAUACAAUAGAAUACAGAUAGAAAAUUCAAUGAAAUCAGGAGAACAACUCAUGAUCUGACUGACAAAUUCAACAAAAAGAUAGAUAUAAUUUAAAAAGAACCAAACAGAAAUCUUGGAGCUGAAGAAUUCAAUGUAUGAAAUAAAAAAAAAAAUACAGUUGAGAACUUCAACAGAAUAGAUCAAGCAGAAGAAAACGUCUCUGAACUUAAAGAUAAGCCUCUUGAGAGAAGAAUCAAAUAGACGCAAUAAAAAAUAAUAAAUGGGAUAUCACCACCGAUCCCACAGAAAUACAAACUACCAUCAGAGAAUGCUAUAAACACCUCUACGCAAAUAAACUAGAAAAUCUAGAAGAAAUGGAUACAUUCCUCGACACAUACACCCUCCCAAGACUAAACCAGGAAGAAGUCGAAUCUCUGAAUAGACCAAUAACAGGCUCUGAAAUUGAGGCAAUAAUUAAUAGCUUACCAACCAAAAAAAGUCCAGGACCAGACGGAUUCACAGCCAAAUUCUACCAGAGGUACAAAGGGGAGCUGGUACCAUUCCUUCUGAAACUAUUCCAAUCAAUAAAAAAAGAGAGAAUCCUCCCUAACUCAUUUUAUGAGGCCAGCAUCAUACUGAUACCAAAGCCUGGCAGAGACACAACAAAAAAAGAGAAUUUUAGACCAAUAUCCCCGAUGAGCAUCGAUGAAAAAAUCCUCAAUAAAAUACUGGCAAAACGAAUCCAGCAGCACAUCAAAAAGCUUAUCCACCAUGAUCAAGUGGGCUUCAUCCCUGGGAUGCAAGGCUGGUUCAACAUAUGCAAAUCAAUAAACAUAAUCCAGCAUAUAAACAGAACCAACGACAAAAACCACAUGAUUAUCUCAAUAGAUGCAGAAAAGGCCUUUGACAAAAUUCAACAACACUUCAUGCUAAAAACUCUCAAUAAAUUAGGUAUUGAUGGGACGUAUCUCAAAAUAAUAAGAGCUAUCUAUGACAAACCAGCAGCCAAUAUCAUACUGAAUGGGCACAAACUGGAAGCAUUCCCUUUGAAAACUGGCACAAGACAGGGAUGCGCUCUCUCACCACUCCUAUUCAACAUAAUGUUGGAAGUUCUGGCCAGGAAAAUCAGGCAGGAGAAGGAAAUAAAGGGUAUUCAAUUAGAAAAAGAGGAAGUCAAAUUGUCCCUGUUUGCAGAUGACAUGACUGUAUAUCUAGCAAACCCCAUCGUCUCAGCCCAAAAUCUCCUUAAGCUGAUAAGCAACUUCAGUAAAGUCUCAGGAUAAAAAAUCAAUGUGCAAAAAUCACAAGCAUUCUUAUACACCAAUAACAGACAAACAGAGAGCCAAAUCAUGAGUGAACUCCCAUUCACAAUUGCUUCAAAGAGAAUAAAAUACCUAGGAAUCCAACUCACAAGGGAUGUGAAGGACCUCUUCAAGGAGAACUACAAAGCACUGCUCAAUGAAAUAAAAGAGGAUACAAAGAAAUGGAAGAACAUUCCAUGCUCAGGGGUAGGAAGAAUCAGUAUCGUGAAAAUAGCCAUACUGCCCAAGGUAAUUUAUAGAUUCAAUGCCAUCCUCAUCAAGCUACCAAUGACUUUCUUUACAGAAUUGGAAAAAACUACUUUAAAGUUCAUAUGGAUCCAUAAAAGAGCCCGCAUUGCCAAGUCAUUCCUAAGCCAAAAGUACAAAGCUGCAGGCAUCACACUACCUGACUUCAAACUAUACUACCAGGCUACAGUAACCAAAACAGGAUGGUACUGGUACCAAAACAGAGAAAAAGACCAAUGGAACAGAACAGAGCCCUCAGAAAUAAUGCUGCAUAUCUACAACUAUCUGAUCUUUGACAAACCUGACAAAAAGCAGAAAUGGGGAAAGGAUUCCCUAUUUAAUAAACGGUGCUGAGAAAACUGGCUAGCCAUAUGUAGAAAGCUGAAACUGGAUCCCUUCCUUACACCUUAUACAAAAAUUAAUUCAAGAUGGAUUAAAGACUUAAAUGUUAGACCUAAAACCAUAAAAACCCUAGAAAAAAACCUAGGCAAUACCAUUCAGGACAUAGGCAUAGGCAAGGACUUCUUGUCUAAAACACCAAAAGCAAUGGCAACGAAAGCCAAAAUUGACAAAUGGGAUCUAAUUAAAUUAAAGAGCUUCUGCACAGCAAAAGAAACUACCAUCAGAGUGAACAGGCAACCUACAGAAUGGGAGAAAAUUUUUGCAAUCUACUCAUCUGACAAAGGGCUAAUAUCCAGAAUCUACAAUGAACUCAAACAAAUUUACAAGAAAAAAACAACCCCAUCAACAAGUGGGCGAAGGAUAUGAACAGACAUUUCUCAAAAGAAGACAUUUAUGCAGCCAAAAGACACAUGAAAAAAUGCUCAUCAUCAC
rnacentral:lncRNA from 1 species